rnacentral:tRNA from 1 species
GCGAGUGUAGUUCAAUGGUAGAACGAGAGCUUCCCAAGCUCUAUACGAGGGUUCGAUUCCCUUCACUGCGGCA